rnacentral:lncRNA from 1 species
CCCGAGGGGCAACGAGUAGGCUUCCGAGGGCCCAGGCGGAGAGGUCGGCAGGUGUACCUGGGAUAUUUGAAAGAUCGCUGGUUGCGGGGGGGGGGGGGGGGAUGGAGGAGCAGGGGACGGGGAGGGGGCACGCGGGGCGAGGCCGGGAGGUCGGGGGGGACGCUCCUCUCCAGGCGGGACCCGGCAGCGGCUGGGAGAAAGCGGCGCGGAAGUGGGGAGGAGGCGCAGGGGCCCCCAGCGUGCUGCCCGGGGCGACCGGGAAAGCGCUGCCGUGUCCUCUUGUGUUUUGCGGGGACAGGAGGAGCUUGCUGCCUGGGCGCUGGCCGAGGGGCGGCCGCGUGCUGGGGGCGGUGCGCGCGUGUGGCCCGGGCGGCCGCAGCCUGGACGCGGGGAAGACGCCCGAGAACUAGGGGAGCGCCUGGAGCUCGAGACGGAGGCAGAGGGCGGCCCAAGGGGCCCCGAGAAGGGACAUCCCGGAGCCGAGCAUCCGUGGAACUGAUCCAGGCGUUAAAGCACAGCUGUGGAGCAGCCCUUCAGGGAUGCCUGGGUGGCUCAGUGGUUGAGCAUCUGCCUUCGGCUCAGGGUGUGAUUCCAAAGUUCCUGGAUCAAGUCCUGCAUUGGGUUCCCUGUGAGGGGACCUGCCUCUGCCUCUUCCUGGGUCUCUGCCUCUAUUUCUCCUG